AUCUAGUUGACGACUCCCAAAACAGAAUGAAACGCACGUCCUUGAU
rnacentral:hammerhead_ribozyme from 1 species